AAUCACAAGGAGCUUAUCUAAGUUUACUUCCUGGAUUAUGCUGAAUUCAGAUUUCUACUCGGAUUUUGCAAAUUUUUAGUAUAUAGAUACAAUGACAGUCAGAGAUUUUAUGCUAAAUGGGCAUGGGAUGCUUGGAUGUGUCCCUUCAAACCAAGUCCACGUUUAAAAUUUGCUGAAUAGCGACAUUGUUUGGGAAAAAUACUCUGGCAGAAAAGAGUCUAAACUGUGGAUAGACAUCAGUCUGACAUCUGUGUGUUUAUUUCCAUAAGUGAAGUUUGUAUCAACUGACUGAAGGAUCAGUGUUAAAGGAUAACACUACAAUGAAAACAGCUGUGAGUUGUUUCUUUUGAAAAUGACUGCUUGAUGAUAAAGUUUCAAACAACUAUGAAGUGAGUGGAUGUUCUAGAGAGACUAAUUCUUCAAAGAAUGAAUGAUCAUCAUCAUGCUUAUAUUGGAAUAAAAGGAAGGAAGUGACAGCUACAGUCAGGGUAAAAGUAAAUGCAGUCAGAAGACCUCUGAUAUCACCUGAAGAGCCAGCCUUCUCAAGAUUCUGUAUCAAAUAAAAAUAACAAGGACUGCUAAAAAGACUUUUUAUAACUUGCAAAUGUGCAGCCUGUGACAUAAUUGUCUGAUCCAGGUAGUUUAGUGUUGACAAGAUGACAUUUCAUCUCUAUAGUAGAGGACACAAGUUUGAAAUGCAGUAUGUCAUUGUGAAGGCAAAAUGUUUAUGAAAAUAGUGUGUGUGUGUUUCCCAGAGAGGCUGAAAGUGGGGAAUCAUCAAUUAGUGUUUUUGGAAUAAGUUAUGGACAUCUGAAUAGUAAAGAUCUGUCCCUUUUUUGAUUGCCACAGACCAAAAUAAUGAUUGGUGCCUUUGACAUAAAUAGAAGAACUCACACUGGACACCCUGAAGAUGGAAUUACAAGAAUGUAUGUUGUUUGCAUUAAUGUUUUUUUUUUCAGAUUUAUGGAAAAACAAUUAGAAUGUCAUUUCUUAAAAAUGUUGAUAGUUGUUUAACCAAAGGCCCUGUAAUUGAAAAAUAUCUUUAUUCUUGACUUUAUCAUGUUUAUAUUAAAAUAAAAAAAAAUUGAUACUGUUUGAUUACUUUUGCAUGUAUAACAUUAAAUUUGUUAUAUUUAAAUUUGAUAAAAUUUAAUGUAUUUUGAAAAAGAUGCACUUGAACAUAUCUAAAUGGAAUAAACACAUGACAGUCUUUGAAUAUCUGUAAAAAAGCACAUAUUUUGCAGUUCUCAUCAGAUUUGGUUACCAAUUUACAGCAUAAUUAUACGUGAAGGCUUAUUACUCAAACAUAUGCAGAUCUAAUUGUAUAUUUUCUACCAUAGAUAAUUUUAUUUCAUAUAGAUUUUUUAAAUCUUUAAAAAAUACUGAGAAAAUAUAGCAAAACAAUGGUUGAAUUAGUAUACUUGAUUUUGUGAGACUGUUGAAAUAUUACAAUUCUUUUUCCCUCUUAAGCCUGUAUCAUAAAAUCAUAUUUUCUGAUGAAAUUUAUUUUUUAAGAAUGUUGCAAUGCAGAUUUUAAUGAAAAUUCAUACAUUUGUAAAGUUACCUAUAUUGUGUUAGGUAAUAACUUAAGCCCAUAUAUACUAAUUGGCCAAUGAUUAAAGAGAACAUUGAGUUUCUAGCUGACUUUCUGACUAAUUUAAGACCUCAUUCAUGUAACAGCAUCUCGAGGGUUCAACGCAAUAGGGGCGUAUCUGCAUAUUUUACCAAAAAUCACUUUUUUUGAUUUUUCACUUUAUUUUGACCUAAUUUAUAUACUGUGAAAAUUUAAACCAAAUGUUUCACUUAUUUAUAUCAUUAUUUUGAUAUUGCAAUAAGGGCAUAUCUCAGAUUGCCUUGAUUUUUACGCGCAAUAUGGAAGUAAGUUGACUUACUGCCUUAUUGCAUGCAAAGAAGUAUCCAGUAGUGUUAAUAUCUAUCCUGCAAUACAGGCUUGGGUAAUCAGAUAAUUUCUGUGAUGUCAUAAUGAUGACAUCAUAAGGUAUCAAGGGCAUUAAUCCUGCUGCAUGACCCUUAAAGUAAAUGUAGUAUUGUUACAUUUUAUGACAUUGAUGUCAAGAAAUUCUUUUUUAUGCUUAUGAGAGUCAGUACUUACAAAUGGUAGAUUCAUCCUGUGUGCAUGGAUAUGUUAAUAUCAAAUUUAGCUACAGUUAAAUGAUAGACCCCCAUUCAUCUUACUGCUACUUAAUGCACUAAUAGCCCAAUACUUUCAAAGUGAAAGCCAUACUUGCGCCACAAUAGUUAUUGCCAAAUAGAAAGAUUUCUAUACUCGUAAAAUAAAAUGAAUAAUUAUAUUAACAUUUUAUCCAAAAUUAACAGUUUAAAAAUAUUAAUUGGGCUAGGUUAUAAAAAGGCUAUACUCUAUUCUUGAAGACUUCAGAAGGUGUAUCAUGAUUAAAGUAAGUAUAUUCUGUAUUCUUAAAGAUUUUUAAAGGUGUAUCCUUGUUCUUAAAGAUAUUUAAAGGUGUAUCAUGGUAGGAAAUAUUUCAAUUUCCUUGAAUUUUGUAAAGUCGUACCAUGGUCGAAGUAAGUCUAUGUUCUAUAUCCUUGCAGGCUUUUUAAGAUGUAUCAUGGUUUAAAAAUAUUUUUACGCCCUUGAAAAAUGUAAGGGAGUUAAAAAUGAUUUUCUUGAAAACAAAUAAAUUGCAGUACCAAUUACUUGAAGCUUUUUACACUUGUGCCUGCUUACUCGGUACAGUAUUGCAAAAGGAUUAUAGUCCACGAAAACUGUAGGUGAAACUCCAUAUACAUAUAAAAGGGGGAGUCCAGCAAUGAAAUGUGAUAAUACAUGAAAGGCGUCUGGCCUAGGAAAAACUCCUCAAUAAUUUGUACCAAAAUUUUAGUUGUAUGGCACCAAAAGAAACAAAAUAUUCAAAAUGAGGUAGAAAUGUGCAAUUUUUAAAAAAAAAUUAGUUACUUUGAUAAAAUGAAAAUCAAAAAGGUGUCAUACAUCAAAAGCCAGUACUUCAAGCUAUAGUUUACAGUGAACAGCCACAGCCUAAGACAUACAGCAUACAUUCUUUGAAAUGUAAGUGUGACUGUAUUAUUCAGUAACAUAAUAAUACAUGAAACCAGUUUGGUAAUAUUCGAAGCUUUUUAGCUGAUCUGAUUUUUUUAAAUGAUGAGUUAAUGUCAUCACUUGAUAGGUGCCAACGUUUGCGUCAGUGUCCGCAUGCUUUAAAACUUGCAACACUUGUUCAACAUCAGUAACUGACUAUGUACAUCAAGAAACAUAACUCCAUCCUGCUUUUUGCAAGAAUCAUGGCCCCUUUUGGAAUAGGAACAUAUCAGGUUUUUUUUAGUUGUUUUUUUAGUUAAAUUUUGCAUUUAAGUCAACUUUUCUCCUUAAAGGUCAAAGCUAUUGCUUUAAUUCUUGGUGAAGGUAUUCGCUAUUAAAGCUGACUCUGCAAAGCAAGUACCGUAAUUUUAAAUUGUUUUUGCAAGAAUUAUGGCCCCUUUUGAACUUAGCAAAUCAUGGGUAGACAAUAUUUCUGUUAUACAGAGACAAUAAAAUCAGAUGAGCGUCUGCACCCGCAAGGCUGUGCUCUUGUUUUGUAUACCGGUACUUACCACAUAUUUUCUAUGCCAUUUCAGCAAAUUUCCUGGGCAUUUUUAUCUUCUUAUAUUUACUUAUAAACCAAUUUGUGGUUCUUGCAUUGUGCUCAGGUGGAAUAUGUCAAAUGAUAGGCAUGCUAAAUCUGCAACAAUACAGAUUCUUUUGGUAUUAACAUUGUUACAAUCACUGUGUGAUUUUUUAGCCAUCCAAAAUUUCGUGAGCAAGGGCACUUUGAGUUGCCCUUGUAAUUUCGUCCAUUUUUUUAAAAUUUAUAUUGUGCAUAUCUCUAAAAAGGUAUUUUACAAAGUGUCAUCAAGCUCAAUUAAGUGAAAUUGUGCACCUAGCUAGUAUUUUAAUUUGGAUCUCUCACAGCUGACCAACAUUUUAUUUUAAGUCUGUGUCAUAUAACAGUAACUCAGAAAGUAUUUGACAUUAGAGAUUAUGAAACAUUACAGGAUUAUUAUUCAGCAGUUCUGUGCCUGCCCCCUUGGGUUUUGUUUGUGAUUUUAUUCAGCCAGACCAGUUAUGGCCCUUCACUUAAUAAAAAAUAUGCAUAAAAUGAAUAUAAAAGUUUGUGUCACACUUUAUCUUAAAACGUAUUUGACCACGGGUCAAAGAGGAUAAAUAUUAUUCAGCAUGGAAAUUUGUGCACCUAAGGUUUCAUUCAGGAUUUCUUUUGGUCAUACUAGUGUUAUGGGCCUUGAUUAAGUAAAAACAAAUGCAUAAGUGCAAACAAGUUUGUGUUGCCUGUA